CCUGGACCAAGCCCUCUUCUCUCCUUUCAGCUCUUCCCACUCUGCCCAUCGUCCUCGGAUGGGGCAGAAACAGGAACUCUGUUGAAGCUGCUUCCCACCCAUUGCAGGACCCUGGCCUGAUCAUUACUUCUCACUUAAAACAGGAUUCCUGUGGCUUCUGGAAUUAGAACCUAGGUAUAUGUGUUUUUAAGCUGUUUCAAGCUUGCCAAAUUAUGCUUCAGAAAGGCUAAUCAAAUUAACAGUUCUGCCAGAGUCAGUGUGAAGGCCCAGGACCAGGUCAUUAUGACUUGAAAAUACCUUCAGCAAGUUCUGUUACUUCUUGUUUUCAAUCCAGAGUACCUCGAUUCUUGCCUGCCUGUUCGGCAGGUUCUUUAUCACUGGCACCACCUGGGAAGCCCCACAAUUCUAAUGUGUAUACAUUAAGAUUGCUUGACAAGGCAGCAGAGUCUCGAGCUCACUAGAUAAGCCCUCAGCCAGUUUCAGGCUCAAAGUGACUCCAGGCCCAAAGACCAUGGCUGAAGAAUGAGUCCAGCUGAGAACAGCCAGCACAGUGAUUAGCUAUCACCGUUAUGUCCUGGUUGCUUCAUGGGGAAACCUCUCUAACGAACAGAGGCCAGCAGUGGGCCCUUACAGAACUGCCGUACUUUGCGUAUGUACCUUCUGGGAACAGAAAGUCACAGAACAGAAGCAUUAUCAUUGAACCAAAGGAGACCAUUAAGUCCUGAGCCAUCAUCCUGCCCCCGAGGACUCAGGACAGACAGGGAAGAGGCUCGAGUCCAUGGAGACACACAAGGAGAAAACCCCGGGCCCAGGAGCAUAUACCGCUUCAGCGCAGUUCCCCAAGCAGCCCCGUACCAUAGCCAAAAUGGGCCGAGAACACAGCCUUUUCUUCAAUAACACAAUUGGCUUUUAAAAUAAAUAAACCCCACCUUGGCCCUAAGCAACUCUUGAGUUUUAGUAAG